UCACCAGAUUCCCCUUCUCUCUCGUCCCUCGUCAUUCUCCAUCUCCUCUCUCGCCUCUCCAUCUCUCCCUCGAUUCCCUCUAUCACUCUCAAUUCCUCCCAUUCUUUCUUUACAAACAAAGUCCCCCCAAUGAUACACCUUCGGGAUUGUUGCCAUUAUUGCUAGUGGUGGCUUUCAGCUGUUGAAGAAAAGUUGCUCAUGAGGAACCCUAAUUUGCAAAUUUGACGGACUAUGAUGCAAAUCAGUUAGGGCUUUUUGUGCUAAUGCAUUGCUGGUAGGAUUAUAAACAAAAUCCCCAACCCAAUUUAAAUUUUCAACAACUCCGAUGGUGGCGGCGCCUUGGCAAAAACUUAAAGAAAGAGAUGUUCACCAUUGACAAAAGCUUCAUGUUUUGCUUCUUUCUUUCGAUCUACUUUAAAAAAAGAAUUAAUUGAGAAAUCAGCCAUGGGAAAGAGAGUUGUUGCAUUUGUUGUUUUGGUAGAUUUUGUGGGGGGUAGGGUGGUUAAUUGAGGAGUUCUUGAAGUGGGUUUAAGGGGGUUUUAUUGUUUCUUUGGUGUUGGUGACUCCGGUUCUUCAAUUAUGAUUGUCAUUGUAGAGAUGAGAGGUAGCAGCAAGAAGAUCAUUCCUGAAAAGCACUAUUUUUUUCUUUUAUUGCACAAUUUUCGUCGGUUCUUGAAGCUUUUCGUUCACCUGCUUGUCUGUAUUUGAGCUUUGAUUGUUGUUGAAGAUGAUGAUAAUCUCAGGAUUACUCAAUUUGUAACAGCUGGUGAUUAGAUCCUUGUUGUUUGUUUGAAAAAAUUGAGAAGUGAGAAUCGAAGAAGAAAGAUUCUUGUUAUUUGAUUCUUGUUGUUUGUUUGGAAAAAAUUGAGAAGUGAGAAUCAAAGAAGAAAGAAAACCAUGUCCUUUGUUUGUUUGUUUCUUGUUGAUUCUUCGCCUUUAUCUUCUGAUUCUUGUUGGUUGUAUUGAUUGUGUUG
rnacentral:lncRNA from 1 species